rnacentral:rRNA from 1 species
AGUGAACGCUGGCGGUAGGCCUAACACAUGCAAGUCGAACGGAAGCACAGUAAGAGCUUGCUCUUACGGGUGGCGAGUGGCGGACGGGUGAGGAAUAUAUCGGAAUCUACUUUUUCGUGGGGGAUAACGUAGGGAAACUUACGCUAAUAUCGCAUAUGAUCUACGGGUGAAAGCAGGGGAUCUUCGGACCUUGCGCGAUUGAAUGAGCCGAUGUCGGAUUAGCUAGUUGGCGGGGUACAGGCCCACCAAGGCGACGAUCCGUAGCUGGUCUGAGUGGGUGUUGAGCGACUCAGAAGCUGAACGGCGACCCUGACUCUGAGGGGAGGCACAGGUGGGGAAGGUAGGCAAGAGGGCGCAAGCCUGAUCCAGCCGUUCCAGGUGGAUGAAGAAGGCCUGCGUGUGGUAAGGCCGUUUUGUUGGGAAAAAAAGCUAGCGGGUUAGACCACGCUGUUCUGACGGUACCCAAAGAAGAAGCACCGGCUAACUUCGUG